AUUAGAUGAAAUAAAGAAUUGAAAAACUUCCCUGGGGGUGAAGUGGUGAGGAAAUCAUGUUGCCGUCCCAUAAAUGCACUGGUAUGAGCAAGCUUCAGACAGUCUGGGGGAUGCAGCCUGCAGCAGAGACCACAGGCGUUUGGUGGAGAAUGAUUCAGUUCAAAACUGGGAAGGGAGAAGGAUGGUUGAUAUUGUUCCAGAAGAUCUCACUGCCUAUAAAAAGAGUUUCUUCCAGAUCAGUGAAUGAUUCUUGUAAAGCAGCUCAUGGAAUGGACUUCUGAGACCAACUAUGAGCCCUCCAGACUGGUGCUUUCCAACCAACAGACAAAAGUAUCCACUCUACACGAAUGAUACAUAGAUAUAUACACAGAAUACCAGGAUGGAUACAGUUUCUUCAGUUUCAUGAAUGAGGUAUUCAGCAGGUCUUGGUCCACAGAAGCAACGACAUCAGGUUUUCCAAUUCCAUUUGACAUGGGACCAGAACCUUCAACCGAAUGUUCCUUCCUGGAAAGCUGCAGCCUGUCAGCGUGGCUCAGUGGUUUGUGAACUGCAAGUUCCCGUCUCGAAAGGUGGUCGUGUUCAUCAAGCCCACCUGCCCCUAUUGCAGAAAGACCCAAGAAAUCCUCAGUCAACUGCCUUUCAAACCUGGUCUUCUGGAAUCUGUGAACAUCACAGUCACUAACAUCACCAAUGCGAUUCAAGAUUAUUUACAACAGCUCACUGGAUGGAGAACAGUUCCUCAGGUCUUCAUAGGUAAAGAAAGACUGCAUAGGCAGACGCAGUGAUCUAAUAUCCAUGACACAGCAAGGUGAGCUGAUGACCUGACUGAAGGAGAUUGGAGCUCUGCAGUUAGGAAAGGGGUGCAGGCAGAGCCCAUGCCGAGAGCCAUCAUCCUGAUAUUCCGACGGCCAAUGCCCCUGAGAGUUGAUGUGCAUCACAGAGGAUGUCAGUAUUUUCUGGUGACUGGGCUUUUCAACAAAUUGGCUUUUAUUCUUCUUUUCCUCAGUGCUAAACCCUGUUGCUAUUUGCCUCUAACCAUGGGGCUGAGAAGCUUAACAGACAACACUGGCUUGAUUUUCCACUCUUCAUGUGCUGAUAUGUCUCUGCCUCUAAGCCCAUGUUUCCCAUCCUGUUGAUCUAAAUCCCCAUUGGAUGUGUUUCUGGUUUCCUGCCAUGCUGGUCAGCUGAAGUCAUUUUGCAGAAGUCCACUUCCUGAAUGGUUAUUAAAUCAAUGGAUAAUGUGAAUUUGUUUAUGAGUCACACUCAGGCCUUUCCCUCCCUCCUGCAGGCACCAUCCCACUUCUGCAUUCACAGCUCUCAGCCAGUGUUCUCAACCUUGCCCUCCCACAACCCACAGAAGUGCACACUUGUAUGAGGACGCUGUUUGAAAAAUCAGAUGAAGAGCUUUAGCAUACUUGGUCCUCACUGUAGCCAUAUUAAUAUAGACCACAGAGCAAAUGGAACAUUCCACUCUGUUUGUAAAGGAGAUUAAGAAAAUCUGAAGAAGUUUUAUGUUGAUCCUAGUCAGAGUACUAGCAAAGUCAAAUAUGAAAUGCAAAAUUGCACAGCUCUCCUUCCAAGAAUAUCUGUAUAAAAACUUGUUUGCAAAACACUGUCCUAAAUAAUUUCUUCCAUUCGCACUUUGACAUUUUGCUUUGAUGUCUUGUUAUGACAUUUAAUUAUCAUGGAACUGUAGGUCUCUUCUCUGGUCUCCAGUGACAAGGACACAUUCCUAAUAAUGAUGUAUCUGUAGAUGACUAAAAAAGUAAAAUAAAAUAUGAGGAUUAAA
rnacentral:sRNA from 1 species